AGUGAACGCUGGCGGUAGGCCUAACACAUGCAAGUCGAACGGCAGCACAGUAAGAGCUUGCUCUUACGGGUGGCGAGUGGCGGACGGGUGAGGAAUACAUCGGAAUCUACUUUUUCGUGGGGGAUAACGUAGGGAAACUUACGCUAAUACCGCAUACGACAUACGGGUGAAAGCAGGGGAUCUUCGGACCUUGCGCGAUUGAAUGAGCCGAUGUCGGAUUAGCUAGUUGGCGGGGUAAAGGCCCACCAAGGCGACGAUCCGUAGCUGGUCUGAGAGGAUGAUCAGCCACACUGGAACUGAGACACGGUCCAGACUCCUACGGGAGGCAGCAGUGGGGAAUAUUGGACGAUGGGCGCAAGCCUGAUCCAGCCAUACCGCGUGGGUGAAGAAGGCCUUCGGGUUGUAAAGCCCUUUUGUUGGGAAAGAAAAGCAGCAGGUUAAUACCCCGCUGUUCUGACGGUACCCAAAGAAUAAGCACCGGCUAACUUCGUG
rnacentral:rRNA from 1 species